CGCCCGCCGCGCCCCGCGCCCGGCCCGCCGCCCCCGCCCCGCAUCGAUGAAGAACGCAGCGAAAUGCGAUAAGUAAUGUGAAUUGCAGAAUUCAGUGAAUCAUCGAAUCUUUGAACGCAUCUUGCGCUCCUUGGUAUUCUGAGGAGCAUGCCUGUUUGAGUGUCAUUAAAUUCUCAACCACACCUGGUGUGGCUUGGAUUUGGGUUGUUGUGGGCUUUUUUUGUAGUCUGCUCCCCUGAAAUUAAUUAGCGGUACCUUGGUGGAACUGUCUACAGGUGUGAUAAUUAUCUACAUCCUAGACAUCUGCUGAAAUGCUGCUUUCUAAACCUUACUUGUAUUUGACAAUCUUGACCUCAAAUCAGGUAGGACUACCCGCUGAACUUAAGCAUAUCAAUAAGCGGAGGA
rnacentral:rRNA from 1 species